GAUGAACGCUGGCGGCGUGCCUAACACAUGCAAGUCGAACGGAGUCCAGCCUUUAAGACCUUCGGGUCAAAGAGGGGAAGACUGAGUGGCGGACGGGUGAGUAUCACGUGGGCAACCUGGCUCAUAGAGGGGGAUAACAGAGAGAAAUUUCUGCUAAUACCGCAUAAGCACACACUGCCGCAUGGCAGAGGGUGAAAAGAGAAUCGCUAUGAGAUGGACCCGCGUCUGAUUAGCCAGUUGGCAGGGUAAGAGCCUACCAAAGCGACGAUCAGUAGCCGAUCUGAGAGGAUGAACGGCCACAUUGGGACUGAGACACGGCCCAAACUCCUACGGGAGGCAGCAGUGGGGGAUAUUGCACAAUGGGGGGAACCCUGAUGCAGCGACGCCGCGUGAGUGAAGAAGUAUUUCGGUAUGUAAAGCUCUAUCAGCAGGGAAGAUAAUGACAGUACCUGAAUAAGAAGCCCCGGCUAACUACGUG
rnacentral:rRNA from 1 species